rnacentral:rRNA from 1 species
GUAACGCGUAUGCAAUCUACCUUUCACAGAGGGAUAGCCCAGAGAAAUUUGGAUUAAUACCUCAUAGUAUAUUGGUCUCGCAUGAGAUCAUUAUUAAAGAUUUAUCGGUGAAAGAUGAGCAUGCGUCCCAUUAGUUAGUUGGUAAGGUAACGGCUUACCAAGACUACGAUGGGUAGGGGUCCUGAGAGGGAGAUCCCCCACACUGGUACUGAGACACGGACCAGACUCCUACGGGAGGCAGCAGUGAGGAAUAUUGGACAAUGGGCGCAAGCCUGAUCCAGCCAUGCCGCGUGCAGGAUGACGGUCCUAUGGAUUGUAAACUGCUUUUAUACGAGAAGAAACACUGGUUCGUGAACCAGCUUGACGGUAUCGUAAGAAUAAGGAUCGGCUAACUCCGUGCCAGCAGCCGCGGUAAUACGGAGGAUCCAAGCGUUAUCCGGAAUCAUUGGGUUUAAAGGGUCCGUAGGCGGUCAGAUAAGUCAGUGGUGAAAGCCCAUCGCUCAACGGUGGAACGGCCAUUGAUACUGUCUGACUUGAAUUAUUAGGAAGUAACUAGAAUAUGUAGUGUAGCGGUGAAAUGCUUAGAGAUUACAUGGAAUACCAAUUGCGAAGGCAGGUUACUACUAAUGGAUUGACGCUGAUGGACGAAAGCGUGGGUAGCGAACAGGAUUAGAUACCCUGGUAGUCCACGCCGUAAACGAUGGAUACUAGCUGUUGGGAGCAAUCUCAGUGGCUAAGCGAAAGUGAUAA